UGGUCCUUUCCUGCCCUUGGUUUGGCUGCUGUGGUCACUGCUAUUACUGUAGUUGUACUCUUGAAUUAAAAGUUCAGGGAAGAUGUUCUGCAGUACCCCUUAAAGGACUAGUGCCUUUGGAGCAACAGAAGAGAGAGAGGAGCAGAUUAAAUGUCAUAAAGGACUGGUGUCUGUCAUUGAGCUUGCUUGUCAUCUUAAAUUUGUUAGCUCUGGCGUCAGCAUGUGUGAGGGAACAAACUGUACCUGGACAGUCUCUAAGGGCAUGCCUACACAGCCAUGGCAGCACAUCCCAGUUGGGAUGGUUCCAAGCAUAAUCUAAACUCAGAUAUGUGCCAGUGAGGCCCCUCUAUGAUAUCCCUCUGCAGCUACUCUUGAGACUCCUGGCAUCAGCCCCAGACUUGCAAGCGCACAGAACGGUCUGGCCGUUCAUGUAUCUGGGUUUGGAGCAUGCCAGUGGGAGCAGAGCAAAACUACAAUGUGGCCUCAAGAGCUAACACUGGCAUGGACUAGUUGACUUGAAAGCUUAGAGAACUCACCCUCUGGGAUUAAAGCAGUAGCCAGACAGGCAGCUCCUGCCACCACGUUUGCCACUGCCCAGGGAUAACGUCGGCCGAUUUGAUCAACUGUAAGGAUGAGUAUGAGGGCAGCCGGAAAUUCAACAAGAGCGGAAUAGAAGAAAUCCAGGUACUUACCAGUAAUAGAGCAAGAAGAAGAAAUUUGGCAAUGUAACAGCAAGCUGCAGCCAUCUCCAGUGGGGAAUCACAUAAGCAACGGCCGCAAAUACAAGGAGUCCAACAGAAAAGGCUGC